UUAGUGACGCCGGAUGGGGAUGGGUCCCUUUUUGGAAGGGGACUCCGGGGACGCGUCACGGCGGGUGGGCUUCUUUGGCUUGCAGCGACGCCGCUGCUUCUCCUCCUUGGGCUCCUUCGACUCUUCGGGGUCCCUUGGAUCUUUGUCCUCGGGCUUGAGCUCCUCCCCUUCCCUGGGGCUCUGGGGCUCCUGAGUGCUGGGCGGCGCGCGACUUGGGGAGGCGUCGGGGCUUCGCAACUUGAGAGCGUGCAGACGCUGGGUGAGGGACUGGCCGAAGGUGGAGUGCUUGGGCACCACCGGGCCGCGAUCGUCUUCAGGCUCGGUCUCGGGCUCAGUGGUGGGGGCGGUCUCAGGCUCGGUCUCGAAGUCGGUCUCGGACUCGAUUUCGGACUCGGUCUCGCUCUCGGUCUCGUAGUCGAACUCUUCCUCGUACUCUAGGCACUCGGGGAGGGACAGCUCAAGGUCUGCCUCCUCGUGCUCGUGGUCAGAUUCCGAUUCGGGGGACUCAGGGAAUACCUGGGCGCCGGAGCGGUGGUGGGCGUUAAGGAAGCUCCGGCGCUGUUGGGCAGCCGCGCGCUGCUGGGCACGGGCGUUGGAGGUGGCAAGGGCGCGGAGGAGCGCGAUGGAGCAGGAGAGCCAGAGGAGCGCGGUGGCUGCCCGGCGGCCUAUGGGCGGGCACAGGUCGUUGUAAUUAUGGCGAGCUCGGCGCCACUGCUGAGCCCGGGACCUCCGAUCCAUCCUCUUAGGCACACACCGAGAAGCCGGCCUGCCCUCUGGCUCUGCAGAGAGUGGCUCCGAAGCACAUUGGCUGCUGGAGCCGGGAAAGGUACACCCUAUGAGGUGAGAAGCUGGCCCGGAGGUCCCAGCCUCACCUCCUUGUGAGGAGAAAAAGGGAAGCACCUACCUUCCUGACCACUUAAGAACUUUCUAAAGCUCCGCGCCUUGCUUGCCUCUCUGAGCAAGAAGAAGGGAUGGGAAAAAAGGGGAAAGUUCUGUCUCCUCCCGGGCUCCUCUCGCUGAGUCUUAGAUUCCGCAGCCUAAGACUCGAGAGAGGUGCCUCCGC
rnacentral:lncRNA from 1 species